CGGGCGCGCGGGCGGGCGGCAGUGGCUUGGCGGCCGUUGUCUGUGGAGGGGGGCCUCGCCGGGCUCCCGGAGGCCGAGCGGUUCCUGUUGCAUGUAAAUCAUGUCCUUGUGGUUACAUAUUUAUUAGCAGAAAACUUUUAAAUGCAAAACACUCAGAGAAAUCACCACCUUCUACAGAAAACAAGCAUGAGGCCAAGAGGAGGCGAACAGAGAGAGUUAGGAGAGAGAAGAUAAAUUCUACAGUAAAUAAAGAUUUAGAAAACAGAAAGAGGUCUCGAAGUAACAGCCAUUCAGAUCAUAUCAGACGAGGAAGAGGAAGACCUAAAAGUGCAUCUGCCAAAAAACAUGAGGAAGAAAGAGGGUGCAGAAAACCUAUGCCGAGGACUCCUAUUUUAGAAGGGAAACUAGGUAAAGAAAAGUCAGCAGAGAAAAAGGAAAAGAGAGAAAUACUGCCUGGCUCAGAAAACAACAUUCUUUUCAGUUGAAAUAGAGGGAAUGCAGCUGAAAGAAGAGAAUGCUUCUGGUGAGAAACAGGAAAAGGAAAUUGACAUCUAUGCUAACCUGUCUGAUGAAAAGGCUUUCGUGUUUUCAGUCGCCUUGGCAGAAAUAAAUAGAAAAAUUAUCAAUCAAAGACUUAUUCUCUGAUACUUGUUUGCAAAAUCUGCUGAAACUUCUGUCAGGAUAACAUCAGCAAAUUCUCAAACAGUUAUGGACUCUCAGGAGCAUUCUGACUGCAUCAAUAAGGGCCAUCGAUUGUUUCUUUCUCGCCUGUCGUUUAGCCUGUGCCACACUUCGGGAGCAAAGCUGUGUAGGCUUGGACUGUUCUGGGAUUUCCUUGUUUACCAAGGAGUAUUGUCAGUGUUUUGUGUUUGGGAUAUA
rnacentral:lncRNA from 10 species